rnacentral:rRNA from 1 species
CAGUCGCCGCGGUAAUACAGAGGGUGCGAGCGUUAAUCGGAUUUACUGGGCGUAAAGCGUGCGUAGGUGGUUGUUUAAGUCUGCUGUGAAAGCCCUGGGCUCAACCUGGGAAUUGCAGUGGAUACUGGGCAACUAGAGUAAGGUAGAGGAUAGUGGAAUUUCCGGUGUAGCAGUGAAAUGCGUAGAGAUCGGAAGGAACAUCUGUGGCGAAGGCGACUAUCUGGGCCAUUACUGGCACUGAGGCACGAAAGCGUGGGGAGCAAACAGGAUUAGAUACCCCCGUAGUCCCUGUCUCUUAUAC